rnacentral:sRNA from 1 species
GCAGAAUUCAGUGAAUCAUCGAAUCUUUGAACGCAAAUGGCGCUCUUGGGUUCUCCCAGGAGCAUGUCUGUCUGAGUGUCUUUUUCGUUGAAUGACAUUCGCACGAUGUGGCCGUGUCAUGCACUGGCGUUUCGUGCGGCGUUGAGGUUCGCGGCCUUGCUAUUCUUAGGCCGCGUGCCUUUAAAUGGAGGAGGAAGAUGGGCUCAAGGUCCGGUGCAGUCGCAUGCGGAUUCAGUUCAUGUGCCGCAUGUGACUGCUGCACCGGGAAUAUUGUCCUCGGCCCUCUACCUCGUGACCUUUAGCACGACGCUCGUUCGUUCGUUGCUUGCCGCCAGACCUCAGAUCAGGCAAGGCUACCCGCUGAAUUUAAGCAUAUUAAUAAGCGGAGGAAAAGAAACUAACAAGGAUUCCCCCAGUAACGGCGAGUGAAGCGGGAAGAGCUCAAAUUUGAAAUCUCCGAUGCCUGCAUCGGCGAGUUGUAGUUGCGAGAAGCACUUUCUAGGCGGAAGGGCCCUGCCUAAGUUGCUUGGAACAGCACGUCGCAGAGGGUGACAACCCCGUCU